CCUGCCCUUCCCGAGGGCAGCAGCCGCGGCCGGGAGAUAAGCGCUGGCGCGGCGCGGGGCUCUGCCUGGGCUGGUGGCACCGACUUGGGGAACUGAAGAAAAUGUUUUCUCAGCACUGCAAGAACACUCGGAGCAGCGGAGGUGGCCGAAGUGCCUUGCCACCGUUCCAGGGAGUGUCCCGAACCCGGCGGAGAGGGCCUGGGCGCCCCAGGCUGCCCGUGCGUGCGGCGGGAGAGGAAGGUGAGGGGCACCGCCGGCAAGAAGAGGCACCGAAACCCCAGAUGAGGAGCAAAACUGUUGAGGAGACAGCCUCGCCUGCCUGUGGGGG